rnacentral:rRNA from 1 species
UACGGAGGGUGCGAGCGUUGUCCGGAAUCACUGGGCGUAAAGGGCGCGUAGGCGGCCUGAUAAGUCAGGGGUGAAAUCCUGGAGCUCAACUCCAGAACUGCCUUUGAUACUGGCAAUCUUGAGUCCGGAAGAGGUGAGUGGAACUCCUAGUGUAGAGGUGGAAUUCGUAGAUAUUAGGAAGAACACCAGUGGCGAAGGCGGCUCACUGGUCCGGUACUGACGCUGAGGUGCGAAAGCGUGGGGAGCAAACAGG